rfam:Lucilia cuprina strain LS Scaffold1608, whole genome shotgun sequence.
AAUUAUGAAUAUGAAUCUUGGUUUCUUUUCUUUCUUUAGCAACUCCUACUAAGGGGCUUUUGUCGUUCGAGAAAUAAAAGAAGACAAGAUUUAAAGCCCCUCUAAAUAGGGGCUUUUUUUAU